CUAGUGAGAUUAAAUAACGGCUGGCAGUGGAUGUAACACACUACUGGCAGGGGACAUAUCUCUUGAUGGCUGACUGUGAGCCAGGCCGGAUGGCCAUUUGGAGGGAAUUAAGGGCAGGCACUGUGGAUGAGAUGGCACAUAUUCUAAAUGAGGUACUCUUAGAGCAGGGACCUGUGGAUGAAUUGCUGAUGGACAACAGCACAGCAUUUCAU